ACCAGACUCCUACGGGAGGCAGCAGUGGGGAAUAUUGCACAAUGGGGGAAACCCUGAUGCAGCGACGCCGCGUGAGCGAAGAAGUACCUCGGUAUGUAAAGCUCUAUCAGCAGGGAAGAAGAUGACGGUACCUGACCAAGAAGCUCCGGCUAAAUACGUGCCAGCAGCCGCGGUAAUACGUAUGGAGCAAGCGUUAUCCGGAUUUACUGGGUGUAAAGGGAGCGCAGGCGGCCUUGCAAGUCUGAUGUGAAAGGCUGGGGCCCAACCCCGGGACUGCAUUGGAAACUGCGAGGCUGGAGUGUCGGAGAGGCAAGUGGAAUUCCUAGUGUAGCGGUGAAAUGCGUAGAUAUUAGGAGGAACACCAGUGGCGAAGGCGGCUUGCUGGACGAUGACUGACGUUGAGGCUCGAAAGCGUGGGGAGCAAACAGGAUUAGAUACCCCCGUAAC
rnacentral:rRNA from 1 species